rnacentral:rRNA from 1 species
AUUGAACGCUGGCGGCAGGCCUAACACAUGCAAGUCGAGCGAGCGGCGGACGGGUGAGUAAGGUAGGGGGACUGCCCGAUAGAGGGGGAUAACUACAGGAAACGGUGGCUAAUACCGCAUACUAUCGGAUAACCCAUAUGGGAUUAGCUAGUAGGUGGGGUAAAGGCGCACAUAGGCGACGAUCUCUAGCUGGUAUGAGAGGAUGAUUAGCCCCACUGGGACUUAGACACGGCCCAUACUCCUACGGAUUCAGCAGUGAGGACUAUUGCACAAUGGGCGCAUGCCUUAUACACCCAUGGCGCGUGUAUGAAUAAGGCCUUAGGGUGGUAAAGUACUUUCAUCGGGGAGGCGUUACCCGCAGAAGAAGCACCGGCUAACUCCGUGCCAGCGGCCGCGGUAAUAC